AUUGAACGCUGGCGGCAGGCCUAACACAUGCAAGUCGAACGGUAACAGAAAGCAGCUUGCUGCUUUGCUGACGAGUGGCGGACGGGUGAGUAAUGUCUGGGAAACUGCCUGAUGGAGGGGGAUAACUACUGGAAACGGUAGCUAAUACCGCAUAACGUCGCAAGACCAAAGAGGGGGACCUUCGGGCCUCUUGCCAUCGGAUGUGCCCAGAUGGGAUUAGCUAGUAGGUGGGGUAACGGCUCACCUAGGCGUCGAUCCCUAGCUGGUCUGAGAGGAUGACCAGCCACACUGGAACUGAGACACGGUCCAGACUCCUACGGGAGGCAGCAGUGGGGAAUAUUGCACAAUGGGCGCAAGCCUGAUGCAGCCAUGCCGCGUGUAUGAAGAAGGCCUUCGGGUUGUAAAGUACUUUCAGCGGGGAGGAAGGGAGUAAAGUUAAUACCUUUGCUCAUUGACGUUACCCGCAGAAGAAGCACCGGCUAACUCCGUG
rnacentral:rRNA from 1 species